rnacentral:rRNA from 1 species
CGCCUCUUGCAAAAUUAACAAAUAAGAGGUCCCGCCUGCCCUGUGACCAGAGUGUUUAACGGCCGCGGUAUCCUGACCGUGCGAAGGUAGCGCAAUCACUUGCUCUUUAAAUGGGGGCCCGUAUGAAUGGCAUAACGAGGGCUUAACUGUCUCCUUUUUCUGGUCAGUGAAAUUGAUUUCCCCGUGCAGAAGCGGGGAUGACACCAUAAGACGAGAAGACCCUAUGGAGCUUUAGACGCAAGGCAGACCACGUUAAUCACCCCCGUUAAAGGAUUAAACUGUUUGGUUACUGUCCGAAUGUCUUCGGUUGGGGCGACCGUGGGGAAAAACAAAACCCCCAUGCGGAACGGGAAUACUAUUCUCCUAGCUAAGAGUCUCCACUCUAAUAAUCAGAACCUCUGACUUUAAUGAUCCGGCAAUGCCGAUCAACGGACCAAGUUACCCUAGGGAUAACAGCGCAAUCCUCUUUUAGAGCCCAUAUCGACAAGGGGGUUUACGACCUCGAUGUUGGAUCAGGACAUCCUAAUGGUGCAGCCGCUAUUAAGGGUUCGUUUGUUCAACGAUUAAUAGUCCU